AGUUUAUACAGCAGUUAGCUGGCGAAUGGACAGCGUGUUGGAGGAAGUAUUAUAACCUUGGAGGUGUCGGGGUGAAGGUUGCAGCCGGGCGACGGCCGGACGACGAACUCCGCUCAAAUGUAUAGACGACGCAGAUAUUUAUCAACUGAAUGUAAUUUAGGUUUCUUUUGAUAUGUACUUAUUAUAGCCUAUUUAUGUUAAAGUCAUAUUAAAACUUAAUAAAUGAAAAUCAUGACAGAAUA